rnacentral:rRNA from 1 species
AUUGAACGCUGGCGGCAGGCCUAACACAUGCAAGUCGAACGGUAACAGGAAACAGCUUGCUGUUUCGCUGACGAGUGGCGGACGGGUGAGUAAUGUCUGGGAAACUGCCUGAUGGAGGGGGAUAACUACUGGAAACGGUAGCUAAUACCGCAUAACGUCGCAAGCCCAAAGAGGGGGACCUUCGGGCCUCUUGCCAUCGGAUGUGCCCAGAUGGGAUUAGCUAGUAGGUGGGGUAACGGCUCACCUAGGCGACGAUCCCUAGCUGGUCUGAGAGGAUGACCAGCCACACUGGAACUGAGACACGGCCCAGACUCCUACGGGAGGCAGCAGUGGGGAAUAUUGCACAAUGGGCGCAAGCCUGAUGCAGCCAUGCCGCGUGUAUGAAGAAGGCCUUCGGGUUGUAAAGUACUUUCAGCGGGGAUGAAGGGAGUAAAGUUAAUACCUUUGCUCAUUGACGUUACCCGCAGAAGAAGCACCGGCUAACUCCG